AGGUCUCUGGGCUAUCUUACCUCUGAUUCCUGGUCCUCCAGGGAGUGUCAUAUGUGGGAUCCUGCUCUUGGGGACCUCAUUGCCAGCAUCUGUUUUUGACUGCAGACAACUAAUUACAGCUACAGGAUAUUUGUCUCCCUCUUCUGGGCUUCAUGAGCAACUGCAUGCAUGUGCACCCUUACAGCAUGCCACCAUACACAACAUUAAAAAUAAAUAUAAAAAAAGAUUGUGACUUA